ACAAUUUAAAUCCCUUAACAAGGAUCGAUUGGAGGGCAAGUCUGGUGCCAGCAGCCGCGGUAAUUCCAGCUCCAAAAGCGUAUAUUAAAGUUGCUGCAGUUAAAAAGCUCGUAGUUGGAUUUCUGGCACGGUGCGCCUGGUCCGCCGCCCUCGAGGUGUGUGAGUACCGGCGCGCGCCUGCCAUCCUUCGCGGGUCGGCGCCUCCCCUUCACUGGGCGCGGGCGUCGGGCCGCGAUCGUUUACUUUGAAAAAAUUAGAGUGUUUCUAGCAGGCGUUGUCGCCGUGAAUACAUUAGCAUGGAAUAAUAAGAUAGGACUUGGGUUCUAUUUUGUUGGUUUCUAGGACCGAAGUAAUGAUUGACAGAGACAGUUGGGGGUGCUGGUAUUCACGGGCCAGAGGUGAAAUUCUUGGAUUCCGUGAAGACCAACUUAUGCGAAAGCAUUCACCAAGGAUGUCUUCUUUAAUCAAGAACGAAAGUUGGGGG
rnacentral:rRNA from 1 species